CCCUUAGGAAAGGCCAGCAAGGCCCCCGUAAAGGAGCCACAGCUGGAUCGGGGCAUGGGGCUCGGGGCCCAGCGGUGUGGGAGCUCCGGGACCGAGGUGCAGUCAGGAGAGACCCUGGGGGCCAGCGGCAGUCCAAGAGGACUUUUGGAGCCAAGGCCUGACUGGGUCUCAAACAAUGGGGCAGGCAGUUUGGGGUUUCAGCAGGUGGCCCAGUGCUGAGACACAAGGGAGUUGUUUCUGGUCUGCAGACACUGAGGACACUUGCUAUGUGGCGUGGUGGACAGUGGCUUCCAAUUGUGGACAAGAUAAGGACCAUUGCCCAGGCUGUCUAUGGAGCCAAAGAUAUCGAACUCUGUCCUGAGGCACAAGUCAAAAUAGAUCGUUACACUCAGCAGGGUUUUGGAAAUUUGCCCAUCUGCAUGGCAAAGACCGACCUUUCUCUGUCUCACCAACCUGACAAAAAAGGCAAGCCCAGCCUCGCAGGGAGGAAGGUGGUGCUGUGGCUUGUCUGGCACGUCUAGGCCCCGACCCGCAAAGUGCCGCGUUCCGGGACCUCAUGCUGUAUCGAGGCUCUUCCCAGCCCCCCAGGCUCCUGCUUCCAGCCCCUCCCAGAGCUAAGGGUGGCCGUUGGGCACAGCAGCAGAGGACAGCUCCUGGGCCCCACCUUUUCCCUCACACUGCCAGCACCAGCCUGCUUAGACACCUGGUGACUCUCAUCUCGCAGCAGGCCACACUGCUGGCCUCCAAUGAAGCCUUUAAAAAGCAGGCGGAGAGUGCUAGUGAGGCGGCCAAGAAGUACAUGGAGAAUGACCAGCUCAAGAAGUGAUCUGCUGUUGACAGAGGCAAACUGGAUGUCGGGAAUGCUGAGGUGAUGUUGGAGGAAGAGAACAGGAGCCUGAAGGUUGACCUGCAGAAGCUAAAGGACAAGCUGGCCAGCACUAAGCAAAAACUAGAGAAAGCUUAAAACCAGGUUCUGGCCAUGCGGAAGCAGUCUGAGGGCCUCACCAAGGAGUACGACCACUUGCUGGAGGAGCACGCAAAGCUGCAGUAGAUGGUCCCAUGGACAAGAAGAAAGAGUAAGGGCCUCCUUCCUCUCCUGCCUGCAGCUGGCUUCCACCUGGCACGUGCCUGCUGCUUCCUGAGAGCCCGGCCUCUCCCUCCAGUACUUCUGUUUGUGCCCUUCGCUUCCCCCAUUCCCUUCCACAGCUCAUAGCUCCUCAUCUCGGCCCUUGUCCACACUCUCCAAGCACAUUACAGGGGACCUGAUUGCUACAUGUUCAGAAUGCAUUUGCUGUCAUCCUGCUUUGCCUGGCCAGGCCUGGCACAGCCCUGGCUUCCAUGCCUGAGCGUGGAGGGCACGAGUUAGUUGUAGUCCGGCUUGCGGUGGGGCUGACUUCCUGUUGGUUUGAGCCCCUUUUUGUUUUGCCCUCUGGGUGUUUUCUUUGGUCCCGCAGGAGGGUGGGUGGAGCAGAUGGACUGGAGUUUCUCUUGAGGGCAAUAAAAGUUGUCAUGGUGUGUA